GCAUAUCAAUAAGCGGAGGA
rnacentral:ncRNA from 84 species